AAUCGUCAAGAAAACAUCGCUUGAUCGUUCUGGCUGUGACUUGGUGGGUAAUCUGGACGGAUAGAAACAACUAUAUUUUUAAUGGAAAACAGCCUAAUGUCUCCGGAUCUCUAGAAUGUCUCAAACUACUGGUCAACAGCUGGACCACUAUGCUCUGAAGCCCUUCUUGUACUUUUAACUUUGACCUUCCUUUCUCCUUUCUUUAGCUUUUAAUUUAAUUCUCACAUUUUGCUGACCCCUCGGAGGUCUAAGCUGCUUCCAACUUGUAUACUCAGUUCAUUUGACUUAAUGAAUGAAGCAGGUAGUUUGCUACCUAUUUCUCAAAAAAAAAAAAA
rnacentral:lncRNA from 1 species